rnacentral:rRNA from 1 species
GAAUUCCUACGGGACGCAGCAGUGGGGGAUAUUGCACAAUGGGGGAAACCCUGAUGCAGCGACGCCGCGUGUGGGAAGACGGUCUUCUGGAUUGUAAACCACUGUCCCCAGGGACGAAAAUGACGGUACCUGGGAAGGAAGCUCCGGCUAACUACGUGCCAGCAGCCGCGGUAAUACGUAGGGAGCAAGCGUUGUCCGGAAUUACUGGGUGUAAAGGGAGCGUAGGCGGGGAUGCAAGUUGGGUGUCAAAACUACCGGCCAAACCGAUAGUCGGACUCAAAACUGCAACUCUUGAGUGAAG